AAAAAUUAAAUAGAAGAAGGUUACAAACAAAUUCAAAAGUUUCCUUCUCUCCCACGUUUCUCACAAUUCAUUCACAAGUAUAGCACGCCGACCACCGCCUAGCAACAAUAAAUAUCUAAUCGGCGAUCUCGAUAUUGAAAUCCAUAGAUCUCAGUGAAUUUUCGGCAAGAGUUCACUGCGACAGACGAUCCACGACAUAAUACAUACGCUCUUGUUCAGUGUAUAUAUAUAUAUAUAUAUAUAUAUAUCUUCGUAUUUUCCAGAUCAGUUAUGGAAUCAACGAUGCUUGAGUUUGAAACGUAUUGCUAAGGAACGAAAGGCUUGUGAAUCUCCUUUUGUCACUCUUCAGAAGGUCCAUUACGAGAACUGCAAAGCUUUUCAUUAAUGGCAAAAUCCUCAAGGCAUUGAUCUGCAUAUGUGUGCUAAUCUCUCUCAAAAAUGGUUGUUGAGAGGUAACAACCACAUAUUUUCUCUUCAUUUUGAUUCAUAAAUGCAUUAGUAUGUCAGAUUUUGUUUUCUAUUAGUUAUUUAAAUGCUUAUCCUCAAUUAAUUUGUAAAUCGAGUAAUCACUCGCUUGAACUUGACAUUUGUUUAUUGUUAUUUCUUUUCACGUAGAAUUAUGUAGGCACUACACCAAAAAACACUUUUUGCGGCAGUAGAUUAAUUGCCGGUAAAACAUUUAAUGAAGCUCAAGGUUAGCGGCAAUUAAAUAUUUGCUGGGAAUAAACAGCUUUUUACUAGCAACUGAAAAGAAUUGCCACUAGUAAUAUAUUUCUUACCAACCUAUUAUUUUAGAUGUUCCCUCCAGUUUCCCCCUAAAUAUAUGUUCCCUCCAAAGAAUAUUUUAUUUCUCUUUGGAAUCAAUUUACUUAGUUCUUUCCUCUCACCAAAGGCCAGGAUUAGGGCAAAUUUUUUCAGCCGAAUAAGAUUGAGCCCUAACAAUCAAUUCCUUCCGCCCAAGGUCUGAGUGACAUAUAUUGUUUCUCUAUCGAACGCGGCGUAUAUUUCCUCGUUGAAGAUUAACCGUAAGUUUCCUUUAUUUUCUAUGCUCCCUCUCUUUCUCGAUGCAAUUGGUGGAGUAUUUCGUGAUAUUAACAUUUCUUCAUCUCAUCUUGAUAUGAAUGUGGCUGCUUAUGCAAUUUCAUUGGUUUCUUCAUGUAAUUCUUCUUGAUUUUUUUGCAGGCUCAAGGUUAUUUAGGACAUCGGGUUAGAAAUUUCAAUUAUAACGUUAUUUAGGACAUCGGGUUAGAAAUUUCAAUUAUAAGGUUAUUUAGGACCUGAAAAAUCAAUAGCUGCUUUAUGGAUGUGUAUAUUAUUUAUCGGAACUAUUGAUAGAACCUAUUGUUUCCUAUACUGACAGUGAUAGUAUUACCAUUUUUGAUUUCCUAGCUUUUGAUUUGAGGUUUGAAAUAGGUUUAAGGUAUGUAAACUAAUUUUGUUGUUUGUCUCUGGCUAAAAUCACCUGUACAAUUUUGAGAAUGGUAAUGCUCUUACAUGAUUUUUUACAGAUGCUCAUUCAGUAGAAUAAUUUACACAGUAUUAUUUUUUCUUAUCAUAUUAUGGGUACAUAUCAAAUUUUAUGGUAAAUAGAACUCCUUAAGCUGAUCAUUAGGUAAUGCAUAUUUAGGAUGAAGUUAGAGUGAUACACAUAUGCAUUCAUCUUUUGCCGUCACCUUUCAGUUACAAGACUCCUUGUCUAUGAAUCAUUAGUUAAAUUGGUAGUGUCAUUGAAGGCUAUAUAAUAUAUUACUUGUGGAAUAUUAGAGAAAACACUAUUUCAUUUAUAAUUGCUUGUUGCAUCUGUUUAAUACUUUAGGAUUUUAUUUUCUUGUGGCUGAAAUUGCCUCUUUGAUGCUAUGAUAUUUAGGCUUUCACGAAUAUAUAUAAAUUUGAUUUGAUGACUCUUAGCUCUCACCAUUAGAUGUUAUAUUUUAUCAUUUAUACACAAUAUAAAAGGUAUGCCAUUCAAAACCUCUGUGAUUUUUGUAUAUAGAUUCUAUCCACAUUUUAAGCUUUCUGAUAUAUAUUAUGUUAUCAGCGGGCAUCAACUGUUAGAUUUUGAAUUAAGUCGAUCUUAGUUUUUUAUCAAUCUGCUGAUUGGCAAUGUGCAGAACCUGCAUACAUAGAUGCAUUUUAUUAUUUUUUUCUAAUCCUAAUAAUCUUGAGCUCAUAGAGAUUGCCAAUAGUCACUCUAAAAUUUAAACAAAGUUCUUUUCCUACUAAUAAAUAACUUCUUUAAUACAAAUUUACAAGGUAUAUUGAACUACAAAUAUUUUCCAAAGUCAUCUUAAUAAAGUUGAUGCUCUCAAACUCCGGAAUAUACAAUUUUCUAAGGUUAAGUACCUGCACGAAAAAGAGAAGAAAGCACUAGAAUUUUAUCUAUGUAUCUCCAUGUUUCUUGAUGGCCACUACCUCAAGAAAUAGAGCACCUGCAAGUAAUGGAAACUUCUUUUUUUUUACCUUAAUAUUAUUUCCUAGUUCACACAUGAUUUGGAAGUCUAAAGUAGAGAAACUAAUUACACAAUUUCAUAUUUGAUUCAGUAUGUUGAUCUUUUGUAAUUGGUCAGACACAAAGGAACUUGUUCUUACUAUACAUCAUAGACCAUUGACGCCGGGCUUAAAAUUUGGGUCUACAUGCAUAUUAUUCCUAAAUUUACAAUUGUAUUGUUCUUCUUCAAGUAGAUAUUUCCAUGUACAAAAGCCAUAUGUUUAGCUUUCUCAAUUUAAAGUUCCAUGGUCCUACUUAGUUGAGCUAGAUGAAUAUCAAAUUAAUUAAAUGGAUAUUAAUUUGUGUAAAUUUAAUGCUUUCUGAGUUACUUAGAGAAGUUUUAAUUGGUAUUUGCCUUCUUUUACAGUAGAAUUCACUACACUUGUGCCUUUUAAAAGAAUCAUGUAUGUUGCUUUCAUUUGUGCUAUGGCUAUUCUGGAAUUGAGCUUCAAACAUGCUUGGUGCAUGCUGACAAGUGGUAGUUGUUGUGUUCAUUCUUAGGAGCUCUUUUUCUGAGAGUUUGUAUAAUCUUAGUUUGGUGCAGCUCCUCAAAGGUUGGUUCAGAGCAGUAAGAAGAUAGAGUUUGGAGGCUGCAAGGAAGAUAUCUGCCACAAUGUUACAAUGGAUGGGUGGAUCAAGGAGGAAAGUCGAUACUUCAAGAAGGUCAACACAGAAAAGGCAACAGCAAUACUUUGAGCAAAGAAAACGGAAAGAACAGCAGAAAACAGAUGCAAGAGAGAGCUUCUUUGAGGAGAAAAUCCGAUGUAAUCAGCAAGAAAAGAGUAGUCGUUCACUGGAUAUUCGGAGUUUACUAAAUUUAUCUACAGAUUCUGGGGAACAUAAGUCAAAUGUCCACUCAGCAAGGCAUAGUUAUGAGGGAAAUGCCUUUACUCCACACAAUCAGAUGCUACGGUGUUCUUCGGUGAUUCAACACAAUGAAGUCAUCUCUGCUGGCUCUCUUCAACAUAAGGAAGGAACUUCACCAAGCUUCCAAGAUUAUGUUGCCUGCCCAAAGAAUACAUCAGUUGGAGCACCUGGAUGUCAUGCGAAAGCUUUGUACAACUCUGAUGACAAACUAAAUCCACUGACCAGCUCUACAGGCAUGCAGCUAUCUAUCAUUGAUAUACUUGGUGAUGAUGGACCGAGCUGCGAGUUGGAAAGUUCAACUCAUGAAGGCCAUGUUGCAUUUUCGAUUGAAGGUUUAGGUAAAGUUGAAAUGUCUACACCAUUCCAUUCACCGCAGGUACCUCGCAGACCCUUAUCGUGUGGUAGGUCCUCACCCCCAAGGGCUAGGAGAAAAGCUCUUUCAUUUGACUACCUUAACAGAGGGACAAAUGGCAUUGAAUGUGAAUUGGAUAGCAUGAUGGUGGACGUAGAACUACCUUUUUGUACGAGUCCUUUAAACAGAUCCUCUUGCUCCAGGGGAGCAGCAGAUUUACGUGGCAGCGCGGAACAGGAGUUACUAGAUACCAAAUGGUUCUCCCCUAGUGAUAACAAUUUCACUGAUCUGUAUACUUUUGAGAAUGAAGAAAUCUUCGGCAAAAGCAAGGAGAGUUCAAACAGAAUUUGGAAUGCAAAUUCCAGCUUCCCACUCCCCGAAAGCUUUCAUGAAGAUUGUGGUUCACCACGCAGGAGCUACUUAUAUCAUUUUGAUGCUAGUUCCACUGAUUUUUGGAAUAACCAAAGUUGUGGGCUGCAAGAAUUCAACUUUGAGGACUGUUAUUAUGGGGGUUCAUCCAAUUCUUUUAGUGCCAGAAAUUAUAGGAAGCAAGGGAGUUAUGCUGACGACUUGUAUCAUCAGAAGCAAAGGAUCAGCACGAGAGCCAAAUCAAAAUUCAACAUAAUAGAUUCACCUACUCCCUAUUCCAAGCACUUCAAACCAGAGAUUAUCAGAGAUUUCAGUGUCUCAGAUGGAGAAUGGUUUUCCAUGGGAUGUACAAAUCCUCAUUUUAUGGAUUAUAUAGACCAUGCUGAGGGGACGUGGUUUGCAAAUGAAGAUGCAAGGGACAAUUUGAGUUUAUUGAGCGAAGAAUCAUCUUCGUCCACUGCAGUGGUGGGUGACUUAGACAAACAACAAAAGAUGAACUCAAAUAAUAAAAGGAGAAGCCAGGAUAUAUCCGAUUGGAGCAAGGAGACCCAGUUGUGUGAGAAGUUAUUUGCUAAGGGAAGAAACUGCAACAGGAAUGAUAUUCAGCAAGGGAAAGAAAUGGAUGAGCCAACGAAGUUAUCAUGGCCACUGAACCAACCAAGUGCAAAGGCAGCUGAUUACCAUCCUGCUUUCUAUGAGAAGAGGUCAGACCUGAACAAUUAUGGAUUGAGGGAGGCUAGACGUGAUCCAGGAGAGCCAAAUUCAAGAUCCAGAUAUUUCUUCCAAACUUCAGGGUCCAAAAAACAUGUAUGCACAUGUUCAGACUUAUCGAUUGGAGAUGCCCUUAGUGACCAGGAGCCUAAGUUACACAUUGACCAACCGAACCUCAAAGGGUCUAUCAAAUAUCCUGGUGAAUAUGCUUCCUCUUGUUUUAUGUCUGAACCAAUGAUUUUUGAACUAGAUAGCCCCAGGUGUGCCUACCAGAACUUGUUUCAGGACCCCAAGAAGGGCUGUGGGUCCGAGGAUUCAUUGCAUGUUCUUGGUUCCCGGGGCACAGUUACAGGAAAUGUUGUAAGAGAUGUAGGUAAGAGACCUGAUUUCCUGAGCGGUGGAGAUAAAGGUGUUGAUAUGCAGGUAUUUGAUGGCAGGCAAGUUGACCCAAAAACUGAAGUUUCUGGCCGGUGCAAAGGUUUGUCUUCAGGAAAGGAGAAGUCAUUGGAUGGAUCAGGUUCUGUCAAUAAGUGUAGUGACUGUGGGGAACCAAAAGAAAAAACUCCAGAAGUGGACAGGACAAGAUUGUUUAACUAUUCUGAACGUGCAGAAGAAACAUCUUCAUCUGUAGAGAUAUCCACUGUAUUGAAGGGGGAUCAGGACAGUUCAGAUAAAAAUCAGGAUACUCAAUCUGCACUUAGAUGUCAAGCAGGAGAUGGAGCUACAGAAGCAGACAGCAAGUCUCCAGUUACAGAAGCAGGCAGCCAGUUACAAAGUCCCAGUGUUCACCAAAAUGGUCAGGUUAUGAUGCUCGAGGCUGUGUCCUUCAAUUUUUACGUGUGCAGUGUUUGAAGGAAGCACAUGCAUAAAGAACUUAGACAACGGGACGUUCUCCGAUGACACGAUGACCACAUGUAUCUCUUUCAAAUUGGAGGAUCCCUGCCAUUUAGACAUGUUUUGAAUAGCCAUUACUUACUGAAAGUGUGGAAGCAAAAAAAGGUUUUGGAGAGAGACAGAGUCCCUAAGGUACAGUAUAAAAAAGCAGAAAGUUAUAAAAGAUGCAUGCCAUACAACAAAUUAUUGCUGAUCACAGGCAUUGGAUUGGACUGGUGAUAAAAAGUCACAUGCAUUGAACUGCAAGACUGCUACAUAGGGGGGAGAGCAUGGAGGGUCUGCAAGCUGUACAGACAACUAAUGAAGUGUAAAUACCAAUUGGUGAACAGGGGAUAGAGCCAGGGCAAUUGGGACAGUAUUACAUGAUUCAUGUGUACUAUGUAUAAACUUUAACUCACUAAAGUAAAUAAUGCCAAAUGCCUACUAUUAAUGUACGCUGAGGGGCAUACUGAGCUUCAGGAUUUUAAUAAACGUUCAUAGAAUGUGUCCUUUUCUCCUUUAA